CUUUCCGAUAGCUGUGUUGCAACCACUAAGUUAAAUCGAUUAAAGAAGGAGGGGUCGUUGUCUAGAAGUGUUUCUGGACUCUCUUCCACAAAGUUUCCAGAAACAUCAUUAUUCAACUCCUGCAGAAGUUCAGUAGCACUCUGGGCACGACUCUGACCAAUGUGGCUUUUUUGAAGAAAGAAAUUAUUUCCAACGUCUUCUCCGGAUACCCGAUUCCCAUCCACAAUUGUAAAUGAACCAAUACCAGGUAGCACUAAGUUUUUGAGUAUUUCAGUCCCUG
rnacentral:lncRNA from 1 species